CCGAGAAAAGAAUAUAAACAGUCAGAGACUACGGCUGUCGAUGAAAAAUAUCAAACUAACUACUCAAAUGGUUGGAGCAAAGAGUUGGAGGAGAGCAUGAAGGGCGUAGCGAAAGUGCUACAAAUGAAAGAUCAAGCGGAGUACGUCACAGUGGGGAAGUUGGUACUGAACAUCAACAAAGGUUUCGCCAUCGCGGGGCCGGUUUUUGCGGGAAUGGCGGCAGCGGCCGCAGGGUUUAUUGGAUUGCCAGCAACUGGGUCGUGGCCCGUGUUGAUCGCGGCGGUCGGAGGCGCGCUAGCGGCCACCGUGAACACGCUGGAGCACGGCGGGCAAGUCGGGAUGGUGUUCGAGCUCGCCCGGAACUGCGCCGGCUUUUACAAGAAGCUGGAGGAGGAGAUAGAGGAGAGUUUGGAGGAGAGAGAAGCGGAGAAGAGAGAGAACGGGGAGUUGUUUGAGUUGAAAAUGGCGUUGAGUUUGGGGAGAAGCGUUUCGGAUUUGAGAAAGUUUAGAUCCUUUGCUUCUGCGUCGUGCAAAGACGAAGAAGUUACCGAGUUUGCAGGGAAAUUGUUCUGAGUGUACAUACGUACAUAUAGGGUGAUCGAUUACUAAUUAAUGCUAACAAAUUCAUUCAUUUAUUUGUUGAUACAUGAAAUUAUACAAGUGACAAUUUGUAAGAAAUAUUAAUUGUUGUUAUUUUUAUUUGAAAUGUAUACAGAAAAUUUUUGAUAAAUUUGAGCAUAUAUUUAAAUGAUAAAAAAAAUAAAUUUAACGGCGAAAAAUUGAAUAGCACCAAGCACAUAAUACUAUUGAUAGUAAUAUAUAUAUAUAUAUAUAUAUAUUGAUGAGAAUGAUUAUAGGUGAUACAAUUUUUAGUACCUAUUUAUAAAACAGCUCUAUUCAAGCGAUUCAUCCACAAAAGCUCUAAUUAAUAGUUAUGCGGCAUACCAACGGUACCUAGAGUAAAUGGCAAAGGAUUUGGUGGUUAUGUACGAAGCUUCGAAAUGCUUUGCAUAUGCAUGUUUUGCAUGGUGAUAAAUAUGUAGGCAUUGUGUAGUUUGAAUUUGUAUUGUGGAUUGUGGAAGAAACAAUCCAUUAUUAGCAAUGCUUCAAGAAUGUCCUUUUUUGUGUUUUCUAUUCUACUAUAUAUUGAAUAUAAAUUGUUUAAACAGUCUUUUUCAAUUGACAAUACAGUUAUAGAUCUUAGAUUCAAGCUUUUCUGAGUUUAUACUCUUGUUUAAUUUUCUUGGAUUCAAUAGUAAGCGAAACACAUAUGGUGACAUUGUGGGCCCAAUUAGAAGCUCAAAUGUUGAAAUUUAUUUGUUUAAAUCUGGUUGGAAGCGUAAUUUUCUCAAAUACUAAUAGUUGGAAUUGGGAUUUGUGCUCACACGGAUCAUAUAAAUCAAAAUUUAAAAUAAAAUAAAAUAAUAUAGAGAAGAGAUAUUGGAGAAGAAAGGAUAUAACUAAACUAAUACUUUAUUAAUCAAAAGACUAAUAUAUAUGGCCUCAUUAUACUCUUUACUAUACCCGGCCAGUAACCUUAGGGCCGUAUGUAUUAGUCUUUUGGCUAAUAAAGUAUUAGUUUUGUUAAUUUUUUUUUACUUCAAUACCUUUUAUUCAUAUUAUUUUAUUAUAUUUUAAAUUUUGAGUUACAUAAUCGGUAUUAUUACAAAUAUCGAUUUCAACAAUUAGUAUCAUAAAAAAUCAUACUUCCAACAAUUAGUAUCAGAGCGGGUUAAAGAUUUUCAAAAUCUGGUAUUAAGACGAGUACCGGAUUUUCAACAAUUGGUAUCAGAGUUUAAAGUUAUCAAUCUUGAAAGAGAUCGACGUCAAAACACUGAAUUUCUGAUAAUUGUAGAAAAUCGAUAUCAGAGCAGGUGUUACCAGUUGUUCGGAGCUUAAGACUCCUAUGAUGGCUCGGAAGUGUUCUCCGAGAAUUAAUUCGAGUACGACUAUUAUUUUUAUAAUUAAGAUAAACUCUAAUAAUUAAAAAAUAUUACUAAUAAAUCUCGUAAUAUGAAAAUAUCACUCAUUUUGACUACCUUCGUAACUAGGUGCACUGUAACUCACACGCAUAUUCAAACAUCUCCAAAACGUGGUUACUAAUUUACAAUCUAAACUUUUUAGUUUACUCAUCUCACUAAUUUCAAAAAAGAAAAAUUACAGAUAAAAGUAAAAAGAUAAAAGUGCAGCUACCUAAUAACUAGUGCGUAAACCUACAUGAUCAAAUUAGGAUAGGUUCAGGCCCUGCUCGUUUAGAAUCGAGUUGACCCUUAGUUUCAAAUUGGAUAGGAGCUGCUCAUAAAUAACCUAUUAAAAGUUUUUUAUCAUUAAAAAAAGAUAUAUUUUAUAUUUUAUAGUUUAAUUGAGCCAAUACUUGUUGAGACAAGUUCUACUCAGGGCCAAGGUCGAGGUCAAUGAAUAGAGCCUAAUAUUUUCAUUUAUAUUAUUAUUAUAUAACAGCCAUGGAUACUGUUCUCGCGUGAAGUUAUGUGAUCGAGGAGACUCCACGCAUGUGUUUUUUGUUUCUAGCUCCGUUUAAAUAAAUGAUGCACUAAUAAAAUAAAUAAAUUAUAAGCAAUCUCCUAUAACUGAUUAAUUUACAUAAUAACCAAUAUAAAGUAAGUGAAAGCUGCAUCUCUUAAAUUUAAUUAGCAUUUUCAUUUGAUAUCUUUGAAUUGUGCAAAGGAUUAGAAAAAAAUUGAUUUUUUCAAGAUCGAUGCAUGUUAGAGUAACUAAUGUGCUCUGUUUGACCAUAUGAGUUAUAAUUUUUUUUUUUUUUCGUCCAAUUAAAUCGCCUUCUAUUUUUCAGUUCAUUAGAAGGUCUCAAUUAAUUGUCAAACAUUUCAAAUUAUGCAGUCUGCCAAUAAAACGAUUUAUUUAUUACGAAAAUAAUAGAUUCUAACCAUAAUUCUUAUUUAACAAAUAUUGUAAAAAUUUUGAACUAAUAAACAAAAUUAUGCUAAGACAUUAAUAUGAGUUUAAAUCUUAUGCUACUUAGGUUCAGACUUCAGAGACCGCUUAAUCCAAAUAUUUUUCUAUUUUUUUAUUUAUUUAGAUUCUUUUUUUUUGAGAGAAAGGUAAUAAACUAUCUGCUUCAUUCAUUAGGAAACUUUCUCUAAGUUUAAUUUUAGAGUUCUUUUUUCUUAAUUUUUUUUCUCUUUAUCUUCUUAUUAUUAGGUAAUGCUAUUAUUAUUAUUAUUAUUAUUAUUAUUAUUAUUAUUAUGGACUAAAUGUCCCGUUAAAUGACCGGUACUUAAGUUGCAGUUGAACUUGUGUAGUCCUUAAUAGGAAGAGGAGAAGAAAAAUAAUCAAAACUUAAUCCCAAGACCCAGUAAUAAAUAAUUGGUAAAAUCAGCGUAGUUGGAAUAGUCAAUUCCAUUCCCCAAGCUACGACCACUUCCGCUCAUAACAACUUAUUAUACUCUUUCAAACACGCCCUGUGAUAUACAGUACGCGCGCGGUCAAGGAUACGACCCAAUCUCAAUCUUAGAACAUUUAUCCACACCUAUAAAUACUCGACCCCAACUUCCCCUUUCUCCUCAUCCACAACCAAAAAUAAGCACUUCUCACAACCGCAGCAACAACAUACAACGACUCCAACAACAACAACAACAACUUUAGAAAUGGCAACUCUACAAGCUCAAAGCCUCUUGCUAUCCAUCUCCUCUUCUUCUUCGUCAUCAUCUUCUUACUCGUUCAGACGGCGGUGUCGUGCAGUCCUCCAUGCGCCGCCGUCGAAUCUUAGCCCGAAAGGUAACAAACCACCGAUCGCAAUUCGCCUCACGGAAGCCGAUGAUCGUCGUCGUGUGAUCACCCCCGCUGGCUUCACCCCACUGCUCCCCCCGAAAUCGCCGCAAGCAAAGAUUGAUGAUGCGGUGAUCCGCAAGCUCUACGCGAUCGCGGAAGCCGCCGCCGACCGUGCGGAGAUGCACGCGAUCAUCGGGAAGCAGCGCGACAACUGGAACCACCUCUUCCUUCACUCCGUCAACUCCCUCGCCCUCUCGGCCUCGCUGAUGUCCGGCCUAGCCUGCGUCGGGUCCGACGCCUCCUCGCCCCACGUUUUAGCCUUCAAACUCUCCUCCGUGCUGUUAUUCGCUGCCACGUCAACGGUGAUGCUGGUGGUCAACAAGGUACAACCGUCUCAGCUCGCCGAAGAGCAAAGGAACGCGGCGAGAUUGUGGAGGAAGCUCGAGAAGGAGAUUCAAAGCAAACUCUCGCUCCAAACUCCACGCGAGUCGGACGUGGACGCCUCGAUGAGGAAGGUGUUAGCUCUCGACAAGGCAUACCCGCUCCCUCUCCUUCCCGGCAUGCUCGAGAAGUUCCCUAAGAAGGUGGAGCCCACGUGUUGGUGGCCGAGAAAAGAAUAUAAACAGUCAGAGACUACGGCUAUCGACGAAAAAUAUCAAACUAACUACUCAAAUGGUUGGAGCAAAGAGUUGGAGGAGAGCAUGAAGGGCGUAGCGAAAGUGCUACAAACGAAAGAUCAAGCGGAGUACGUCACAGUGGGGAAGUUGGUACUGAACAUCAACAAAGGUUUCGCCAUCGCGGGGCCGGUUUUUGCGGGAAUGGCGGCAGCGGCCGCAGGGUUUAUUGGAUUGCCAGCAACUGGGUCGUGGCCCGUGUUGGUCACGGCGGUCGGGGGCGCGCUAGCGGCCACCGUGAACACGCUGGAGCACGGCGGGCAGGUCGGGAUGGUGUUCGAGCUCGCCCGGAACUGCGCCGGCUUUUACAAGAAGCUGGAGGAGGAGAUAGAGGAGAGUUUGGAGGAGAGAGAAGCGGAGAAGAGAGAGAACGGGGAGUUGUUUGAGUUGAAAAUGGCGUUGAGUUUGGGGAGAAGCGUUUCGGAUUUGAGAAAGUUUAGAUCCUUUGCUUCUGCAUCGGGCAAAGUCGACGAAGAUGUUACCGAGUUUGCCGGGAAAUUGUUCUAAGUGUACAUGCGUACAUAUAUAGGGUGAUCGAUUACUAAUUAAUGCUAACAAAUUCAUUCAUUUAUUUGUUGAUACAUGAAAUUAUACAAGUGACAAUUUGUAAGAAAUAUUAAUUGUUGUUAUUUUUAUUUGAAAUGUAUACAGAAAAUUUUUGAUAAAUUUGAGCAUAUAUUUAAAUGAUAAAAAAAAUAAAUUUAACGGCGAAAAACUCGAUAGUAUCAAGUAAAUAAUACUAUUAAUAGUAUAGUAGUCGGAAGGUGAUACAAUUUUUAGUGCCUAUUUAUUAAGCAGCUCUAUUCAAGCGACUCAUCCACAAAAGCUCUAAUUAAAAGUUAUGCGGCACCGGCCGUAAACUACCUAAUUGGCAGUGGAGAAUAAUUUAACAAAGGAGUAAACGACUGCUUAAUUGAUCAAGCUUGUUACUGGAACACAAAUCUCUAACGGAUACGAAAAACAUAAAAAUAAUAAUAACGUAUGAGGCUUCGAAAUGCUUGGAUAUGCAUUUUUUGAAUGGUGAUAGAUAUGUAGCCAUUGUAUAGUCUGAAUUUGUAUUGUGGAUUGUGGAAGAAACAAUCCAUUUUUAGCAAUGCUUCAAGAAUGUCCUUUUUCGCGUUUUCUAUUCUACUAUAUAUUGAAUAUAAAUCGUUAAAACAGUCCUUUUCAAUUGAUAUUAGAGUUGUAGAUCUUAGAUUCGAUCAAGCUUUUCUGAGCUUAUACUCUAGUUUAAUUUUCUCGGAUUCAAUAGUAAGCGAAAUAUAUAUAUGAUGACAUUGUGGGCCCAAUUAGAAGGUCAACUGUUGAAAUUUAUUUGUUUAGGUCUAGUUGCGUGAUUUUCUCCGAUACAUGGUUGGAAUCAAAAGUUAUGCUGAUACCGAUUAUAUAAAUCAAAAUUUAAAAUAGAAUAAAUUAAUACGAAGAAAAGAUAUUGGAGGAGGAAGAAUAUAACUAAACUAAUACUUUAGUAAUCAAAAGACUAAUUACAUACAGCCUCAUUAUACUCUUUACUAUUUCCAGUAAAUUUAUGGCCGUAUGUAUUAGUCUUUUGACUAACAAAAUAUUUGUUUAGUUAUCCUCAUUCUUCUUCAAUAUCUUUUUUCUUCAUAUUAUUUUGUUCUAUUUUAAAUCUUGAGUUAUAUAAUCGGUAUUAACACAAAUACCGAUUUCAACAAUUGGUAUUAUAGAAAAUCACGCUUCCAACAAUUAAUAUCAGAGCGGGUUGCAGAUUCUCAAGAUCUGAUAUUAGGGCUAGUACCAGAUUUUCAACAAUUGGUAUCAGAGCUUAAGAUUACCGAUUUUGGGAGAGAUUGACGUCAAAGCACUGAAUUUCUGAUUAUUGUAGAAGAUCGAUAUCAGAGCAUAUGUUACCAAUUGUUCGGAGCGAUCAAUGUUUAAAGCGAAAUUUGAUUUCGCUAGGCGCGUUGGACUCGAAAGGGUUGUAAUUUUUCAACCUCAAGUGCAGCUUCGAGGGUCCGAUAGCUAAAUUAGAUCGUGCACAAGGCGAACAAGCACGGGAACUUGCAUGUUUUGAACGAGACCACAAUCAGAAUGGGAAGCGAAAGUAGCUUGGGUUGCAAAAGUUUGUAGAGAUACACUUGCUCAAGAUAGAGUGGCAGAUGUGACGACAUGGAGCGGAUGAGGCAAGUGCAAGGUGGAGCUUGCGUAGUAAGCUCGAUGCGGCGGCUACUACAAAUCAAAUCAAGGUGGUGAUUGUCAGGAUUUGAUUUGAUUUGUAGUUGAAUCCUAAUUAGAUUAGAAUUAAUAUUUAAAUCAGUUGGAGAUAAAUUAAGAUUUAAAUAUUAAUUAGAAUAGAAAUCUAAGUGCAAUAGAAUUUUGGUAACUUUUGAUCUAAAUUGUAAAUAUAGUAUAGGUGCUAUUUUCCAAACUCUAAAACCUUUACAGUAACCAUUUUUAGCCAUGAGACGCUAAGAGCUAUGUUAAUAUGUAUAAAUCAAAACUCUAAUUAACAAUUAAGACUCCUAUGAUGGCUCGCUGCGUGCAAAGUGUUCUUCUAGAAUUAAUUCGAGUACGAUUUUUAUUAUUAUAAUUAAGAUAAACUCUAAUAAAUAUAUUACUAAUUAAUCUCGUAAUAUGAAUCACUCAUUCUGACUAGCUUGGUCACUAGUGCACAGGGCACUGUAACUCACGCAUACACGAACAUCUCCAAAACGUGGUUACUAAUUUACAAUCUAAACUUUUUUAAUUUACUCAUCCCACUAGUUUCAAAAAAAAUAAAAUAAAAUAAAAUAAUAAAAAGAUAACAGUGCAGCUACCUAACAACUAGUACGUGUAAACAAUCUUACAUGAUCAAAUUAAGAUAGGCUCAGGCCCUGCUUGUCCAUAAUCGAGUUGAUCCUUCGUUCCAAGUUGAAUAGGAGCUGCUCAUAAAUAACUUAUUUAAAAGAAUCCUCCCUAAAAUAAUACUAUCAUGAUAUACUAAUAGAAUGUAAGUAAAUAAUUUAAAAUAAAAAAUUUUAAAAUGAAGAAGUAAAAAAGUUCAAAUCCAUUAAAAAUUUAACAUAAUUAUUAUUUAUAUAUAAUUAAUCUUAUUUCAAAUUCUUUUUGACUAAUUUUGUAAACUUAUUGUUUGAAGAAUUUUAAGUGAGUAAAUUUGGAAAGUAAUUUUUUAGAACUUGUGAAGCAUGAUUCAUAUUAUGAUUCCUUUAAACUAAAAAGUUAUUAUUAUUGUGAAUAAUUAGUCAUGUAUGUUUAUCAAUUAUUUUCAACAAAUCAAUCAAAAAUUUAAAUAUAAAUAUCAAACAUACCUCCCAAAAGUAAUUAUUGAGUAUUUCUUGGGAUAGGGGCAAAUAUUUAUGCGCUCUGAAAAUUUCAAUANUUUUUUUUUUUUUUUUUUUUUUUUUUUUUUUUUUUUUUUGGACUGAUAUGCUCAUAAUGAGGUCCUCGUUGUCUCAGCUUAUUUUACUUAAUUCAUAUUUUCAAUGAAUGAAGUGGGUAGUAUGCUAUUUUUUUCUUAAAAAAAAAACUUAUUUAAAAAUUUUUUAUGAUAUUUUUUUUAUAUAUUUUAUAGUUUAAUUGAGCGAAUCCUUGUUGAGACAAGUUCUACUUACGGCCAAGAUGGAGGUCAAUGAAUUGAACCUAAUAUUUUCGUGUGAACUAAACGAAGCGGGUAGCGUGUAGCCCGAGUUCGAAUCCUAGUUGAUUCACAUUUCUAGCUAAGUUUAUUUCUAAAUGAAAUAAACGAAACAAAUAAAUGAAGCGAAUAGCAUGCUACCUAUCUCUUAAAAAAAAAAAAAAAAAAAUUCGUGUGAACUUUUGUGAGGAGACUCCAUGCAUGUGUUAUUUGUCUCUAGCUCCAUCUAAAUAAAUGAUGCACUAAUAAAAUAAAUAAUGGACCGUCCCUAGAGCAAGUGACAAAAGGUUUGGUGGUUGGUAUCCAAGACCCAAGUUCGAAUCUUAGUUGAUUUACAUUUUCAGCUAAGUUUAUUUCUAAAUAAAAUAAACGAAGCUGGUAGCGUACUACCUAUCUUUCAAAAAAAAAAAUAAAUGCAAUCUCCUAUUAUUCAAUAAUUUACACAAUAACCAAUAUAAAGUAAGUGAACGCUGCUUAGCUGCAUCUCUUACAUUUAAUUAGCAUUUUCAUUUGAUAUCUUUGAAUUGCGCAAAGGCUUAGAAAUAUUUGAUUUUUUUCAAGAUCGUCGUUAGAGUAAAUAAUGUACUCUGUUUGACCAUACGAGUUAUAAUUUUUUGUUUUUCGGUCCAAUUAAAUCCCCUUCUAUUUUUCAGUCCAUUAAUUAGAAGGUCUCAAUUAAUUGUCAAACUUUUCAAAUUAUGCAUUCUAUCAAAAAAAAAUGAUUUAUUUAUUACGAAUAUAAUAUAUUCUAAUCAUAAUUCUUAUUUAACAAAAAUUGUAAAAAUUUUGAACUAAUAAAAAAAAUUAUGCUAAUACAUUAAUCUGACUUUAAAUCUUAUGCUGCUUAGGUUCAGAAACCGCUUAAUGCCUUAAUCCAAAUAUCUUUCUAUUUUUUUAUUUAUUCAAAUUCAGUAAUCACCUUUAAUAUCAUCCUCUAAGUUUAACUUUAGAGUUCUUUUUUUUUAAAUUUUCUUCUCUUUAUCUUCUCAUUAUUAGGUAAUGCUAUUAUUAUUAUUAUUAUUAUUAUUAUUAUUAUGAUGGAGUAAAUAUCCCGUCAAAUGACCGGUACUUAAGUUGCAGUUGAACGUGUAGUCCUUAAGCACCCCUUCCGGUUGAAGGGGUGGAAUAAUUUCUUAACCCCGAAGUUAUUUUCAAACGUCUAAUUUGGGGAUGGCGUUAACUAAUUCUAUCUAAAAUGGGCUAUUCAGGAAUAGCCCAUUUGAGUUGAUCACCCCACUACUCCAACCUAGGGCUGGCAAACGAGCGAGCCGGCUCGCGUUCGACUCGUGUUCGGCUCGAUAUUCGGCUCGCUCGAGCUCGACUCGAAAUUAAAUGAGCCGAGCUUGAACAAAAUAAAAGGCUCGAAAUUCAUUUCAAGCCGAGCUUGAGUAUUACUCGGCUCGUUCGAAUUAGGCUCGAAAAGCUCGAAAAGCUCGAAUAUAUAUAUAUAUAUAGUUGGACUGGGCUACUAUUAGUAGCAAAAUUCCAUUGUUGCUACCAGUUUUUUAGCCUUUGGAUCAACUCUUUUCAUUAUUUCUAACUAUUGGAUUAAAUACUAUAACCCAGUGGGGACCACUCAACCCUAGGAGGACCAUUCAACUCUAACCGACUAAUAUCAUUCUGACCCUACAAUUUUUCAUCCAAGGGUUAAAAACUUGAUAGCAAAAAGAGCAUUUUACUAUUAAUAGUAUUCCAGCCUAAUUCUAUAUAUAUAUAUAUAUAUAAAAUGUAUUUUAAUUUAAUUUGGGCCAUUAUUGUUGGUCCAUAAAAUAAAUCCAACAAGUACAACCGUGCAAUUGAGCCCAACUUUAAAUUUACAUAACACACUCUCUCUUUUAAACUUUCACUGUUGCACAUAACCCUAAAAUAUGAUAACAUUCAAAUUCCCAAAUCCCUAAUUACCUAAUUUUGAUAAUCAGUCUAAUUCAAUGCGAAUUCAUUCCACAAAAGCUCUAAUUAAUAGUUAUGCGCUACCAACUGUACCUAGAGUAAAAUGGGCAAAGGAUUUGGUGUUAUGUACGAAGCUUCGAAAUGCUUGGCAUACAUGUUUUGCAUGGGAUUAAAUAUGUAGGCAAUUGGUGUAGUUUGAAUUUGUAAUUGUGCGAUUGUGGAAGAAAACAAUCCAUAAUUAAGCAUGCUUACAAGAAUGUCCUUUUCGUGUUUUCUAUUUCUACUAAUAGUGAUAUUAAAUUAUUUAAAACAGUCUUUUUCAUUGACAUUAACAGUUAUAGAUCUUAGAUUCAAGCUUUUCUGAGUUUAUUACCUUGUUUAAUUUUCUUUGGAUCAAAUAGUCAAGCGCGAAACACAUAUGGUACAUUGUGGGCCAAUAGAGCUCAAAUGUUGAAAUUUAUUGUUUAAGAUCUGGUUGGAAGCCGUAAUUUUCUCAAAUACUAACUAGUUGUGAAUUGGAUUUGUGCUCACAUCGAAUCAUAUAAAUCAAAUUUAAAAUAAAAUAAAAAUAAAUAUGAGAAAAAGAUAUUGGAGAAAAAGGAUAUAACCUAAACUAAUACUUUAUUUAAUCAAAAGACUAAAUAUAAUGAUGGCCUCAUUAUACUCUUUACUAUACCCGGCCCAUAACCGUUAAGGGCCGUAUGUAUUAGUCUUAUUGGCUAAUAAAAAUAUUUAUUUUGUUAAUUGUUUUUACUUCAAUACCUUUUCUCUAUUAUUUUAUUAUAUUUUAAAUUUUGAGUUACAUAAUUGGUAUUAGUACAAAUAUCGAUUUCAAACAUUAGUAUCAUAAAAAAUUCAUACUUCUAACAAUUAGUAUCAGAGCGGGUUAAAGAUUUUCAAAAAAUCUGGUAUUAAACGAGUACCUGGAUUUUCAACAAUUGGUAUCUAAGAGUUGUAAAGUUAUCAAUCUUGAAAGAGAUCCGACGUCAAAACACUGAAGUUUCUGAUAAUGUAGAAGAUCGAUAUCAGAGGCAGUGUUACCAGUUGUUCGGAGCUAAAGACUUCUAUGAUGGCCGGAAGUGUUCUCGUGCGAGAAUUAAUUCGAGUACGACUAUUAUUUUUUAAUUAAGAUAAACUCUGCUAAUAUUAAAAAAUAUUACUAAUUAAAUCUCGGUAAAUAUGAAAAAUAGUCACUCAUUUUGACUGCCGUUCGUAACUAGUGCACUGUAACUCAACACGCCUAUUCAAACAUCGUCCAAAAAACGUGGUUACUAAUUUACAAUCAUAAACUUUUUAGUUUACUCAUGCUCACUAAUUUCAAAAAAGAAAAAUUCAGAUAUAAAGUAAAAAAGAUAAAAGUGCAGCUACCUAAUAAACAUAGUGCGUAAGACCUACAUGAUCAAGAUUAGGUAUAGGUUUCUAGGCCCUGCUGGUUUAGAAUCGAGUUGACCCUUAGUUUUCAAAUUGGAUUAGGUAGCUGCUCAUGAAAUAACUUAUUAAAAGUUUUUAUCCAUUAAAAAAAAUAUAUAUUUUAUAUUUAUAUUAGUUUAGAUUGAGCAAUACUUUGUUGAGACAAGUUCUACUCAGGCCAAGGUCGAGGUCAAUGAAUUGAGCCUAAAUUUUCUAUUUAUAUGAUAUUAUUAUAACACUCAUGAUACUGUUCUCGCGUGAAGUAAUGUGAAUCGAGGAGACUCCACGCAUGUGUUUUUUUGUUUAGGCUCCGUUAAAUAAAUGAUGCCACUAAUAAAUAAAUAAAUUAUAAGCAAUCAUCCCUAUAACUGAUUAUUUUACCAUAAUAUACUCAUAUAAAAGUAAAGUGAAAGCUGCAUCUAUUACAUUUAAUUAGCAUGUUUUCAUUGAUAUUUUGAAUUGUGAAAGGCUUAGAAAAAAUAUUGAUUUUUUCAAGUCGAUGCAUUGUUAAGAGUAAGCUAAUGGUGCUCUGUUUGACCAUAUGAGUUAUAAUUUUUUUUUAUUCGUCCAAUUAAAAUCGCCUUCUAUUUUCAGUCAAUUAGAAGGUCUCAAUUAAUUGUCAAACAUUUCAAAAUUACAGUCUGCCAAAUAAAACGAUUAUUUAUUACGAAAAAUAAUAGAUUCUUAACCAUAACUCUUAUUUAAAGCAAAAUAUUGUAAAGAUUUGAACUAAUAAACAAAAUUAUGCUAAGACAUUUAAUAUGAGUUUAAAUCUAUGCUAUCUUUAGGUUCAGACUUCAGAGACGCGCUUAAUCCCAAAGUAUUUUUCUAUUUUUUUUAUUUAUGUAGAUUCUUUUUUUUUAGAGAGAAAGGUAACAAAUCUAUCUGCUUCAUUCAGUUAGCGAAACUUCCCUACUAAGUUUAACUUUAGAGUUUUUUUCUUAAUUUUAUUUUCUUGCUUUAUCUUCUUAUUAUUAGGUAAUGCUAUGAUAUUAUUAUUAUUUAUUAUUAUUAAAUUAUUAUUAUUCCCGUAAAUGACAAGUAUAAAGUUGCAAGUUGAACUUGUGUAGUCUAUAAUAGGAAGAGGAGAAAAAAAUAAUCAAAAUUAAUCCGAGACCUAGUAAUAAAUAAUUGUCAAAAUCAGCGUAGUGGAAUAGCAAAUCCAUUCCCCAAGCUACGGACGCUGACUUCCACUAUAACAACUUAUUAUCACUUUUUCAAACCCUUUGUCUGUAUAUACGUACGCGCGUCAAGGAUAGACCAAUCUCAAAUCUUAAGACAUUUUAUCCACACUUAUAUACAAUACUCAGACCCGCAACUUUCCCGUUCUCGCCUCAUCCACAAACCAAAAAAUAAGCACUUUCUCACAACCCGCUAGCAAAACAUACAACGACUCAACAACAACAAAAUCCAACUUUAGAAAUGGCAACUCUACAAUCUCAAAAGCCUCUUGCUAUCCGUCUCCUCUUCUUCUUCUCGAUUCAUUUCUACUCGUUCAAACGCGGUGUCGUGCCGUCCUCAUGCGCACGCGCGUCGAAUCUUAGCCGAAAGUAAAAGACCACUAUCCGCAAUUCACCUCACGAAGUCGAUGAUCGUCGUGUGGAUCACCCCCGCUGGCUCACCCACUGCUCCCCGCGAAAUCGCCGCAUAGCGAAGAUUUGAUGAGGUGAUCCGCAGCUCUACGCGAUCGCGAAGCCGCCGCCGACCGUGCGGAGAUGCACGCGAUCAUCGGGAAGCAGCGCGACAACUGAACCACCUCUUCCUUCACUCGUCAACUUCACCUCUCGCUCGCUCGUUCGCCUCGCUGAGUCGGCUAGCCUGCGUCGGGUCCGACGCCUCCUCGCCCCCACGUUUUAGCCUUCAAACUCUCCUCCGUGCUGUUAUUCGCUGCACGUCAACGUGAUGCUGGUGGUCAACAAGGUACAACCGUCUCAGCUCGCCGAAGAGCAAAGGAACGCGGCGAGAUUGUGGAGGAAGCUCGAGAAGGAGAGUUCAAAAGCAAACUCUCGCUCCAAACUCGCGCGAGUCGGACGUGGACGCCUCGAUGAGGUAGGUGCUAGCUCUCGACAAGGCAUACCGCGCUCCCUCUCCUCCCCGGCAUGCUCGAGAAGUUCCCCUAAGAAGGUGGAGCCCACGUGUUGCGUGCCGAGAAAAAUAUAAACAGUCAGAGACUACGGCUAUCGACGAAAAAAUCAUAACUUACUCAAAUGGUUGGAGCAAAGAGUUGGAGCGAGAGCAUGAAGGGCGUAGCGAAAGUGCUACAAACGAAAGAUCAAGAGGAGUACGUCACAGUGGGGAAGUUGGUACUGAACAUCAACAAAGGUUUCGCCAUCGCGGGGCCGUUUUUUGCGG
rnacentral:lncRNA from 1 species